AUUCAACAUACUGAGGAAUGUUCUUAUCUCUACUACUAGUUCGCUAUAAGACGACCAGUUGCACUGAGAAAAAGGAGAGCUGUUCUGGCUGUUUCAGAGAGACAUACAAGACUAAGCAAAAACAAUAGUUAAUCACUGUACUGGGUGCGGAUCAAAAGCUUCAAUGCUGAAGAUUUGUAAUAACCUCCUUGGUGACUGACUGCAACUCUGUCAUGUUCGAAGGGUAAAUUAAAAACAAUUGUACAACUACAGAACGUCUGUG